AGCAGCGUGGCUCAGUGGAAAGAGCACAGGUUUGGGAUUCCGAGGUCAUGGGUUCGAAUCCUGGCUCUGCCA
rnacentral:tRNA from 1 species